GACGAACGCUGACGGCGUGCUUAACACAUGCAAGUCGAAGGGAGUGGCGAACGGGUGAGUAAAACGUGAGUACCUUGCCCUUUUCUUUGGGAUAAGCCUGGGACACUGGGUCUAAUACUGGAUGGAUUGGGGUGGGCUUGCGGGUUAUCAGCUUGUUGGUGGGGUGAUGGCUUACCAAGGCUUUGACGGGUAGCCGGCGUGAGAGGGUGGUCGGUCACAAUGGGAUGUGGAGACGGCCCAGACGCGUACGGAGGCAGCAGUGGGGGGUAUUGCACAAUGUACGAAAGACUGAUGAAGCGACGUCGUGUGGGGGAUGCAGGCCUUCGGGUUGUAAACUCCUUGCGCCCGCGGAAUGGUAGUUGGUAAAGAAGCGCCGGCUAACUACGUGCCAGCAGCCGCGGUAAUAC
rnacentral:rRNA from 1 species